CCAGAAUGGAAAUAUUCAGCCUUCAUGCUUGCCCUCUCAGCCACGGUCAAAAACUGGAAACUAUGUAUGGGCGUUUUUCCAACUCUCUCCUCUCUGGUGACUAAGAUUCUGAUUCACCAGCUUCCUGAAACAGCGUGCAGGUGGAAUACAAUGUGUAUUUGCACAUGCCAAAGGCUUUGACAAUUCCCCACGUGACUCCUGUGGACACUGCAUUACAUCAGAAAAAAGGUGGUUCGCUGUGUGACACAUUGACAUCCUCUGGCAAAGCUGUGUGAACCUCGCUGGAACGUGCUCUGGACAUGAAAUCAGCCGCCAGUGCCAGACCCACAUGGCCCGUCUUUGGUGUGUGUGUGUGCCACGUGGAUUAUUCCAGGACCCUCAACCCAAAAAAAUCUCCACCACAGAGCUACAGGAGUGAGAUUUUGACUUCCCCGUUUUCCCCAAUGGCACAUUUUUUCCUGGCCUGACCAUCAUUUAGUAAACCUCCUCACUCCUUGGAUUCUGCACUGUGAGACAGAUGGUCUGGUACAAAACCACAAAACCUUUACAUACUCUCGGAAAACCAUAAGAUUCCACAAACUCACUUGUAAAUCGUCACAAUGAUCUAUUUCCAUCUGCUUUUUUUUAUUGUACUAUGAAGGGUAUUUGAGGAACUUUUUGUUUUUACAAGAAAUUAAUAUUGAGUUCAUUACACACAUGUGUCAAACACAUGUCUGAUA